GCGAAAGCCUGACGCAGCGACGCCGCGUGAGGGAUGACGGCCUUCGGGUUGUAAACCUCUUUCAGCCCUGACGAAGCGAGAGUGACGGUAGGGGCAGAAGAAGCACCGGCCAACUACGUGCCAGCAGCCGCGGUAAUACGUAGGGUGCAAGCGUUGUCCGGAAUUAUUGGGCGUAAAGAGCUCGUAGGCGGUCUGUCGCG
rnacentral:rRNA from 1 species